rnacentral:rRNA from 1 species
UCGAGAAUCUUUGUCAAUGGGCGCAAGCCUGAACGAGCGACGCCGCGUGUGGGAUGAAGGCCUUCGGGUUGUAAACCACUGUCAGGGGGAACGAAUAAGCGUGUAACCCACGCGAUGACUUAAACCCCAAAGGAAGUGACGGCUAACUACGUGCCAGCAGCUGCGGUAAUACGUAGGUCACAAACGUUAUUCGGAAUCACUGGGCUUAAAGGGCGCGUAGGCGGCUUGACAAGUCAUGGCUGAAAUCCAACGGCUCACCCGUCGAACUGGCCAUGAUACUGUCGAGCUAGAGUUGCGGAGGGAUGCGUGGAACUUGUGGUGGAGCGGUGAAAUGCCCAGAUAUCACAGGGAACACCGGUGGCGAAGGCGACGCAUUGGCCGCAUACUGACGCUGAGGCGCGAAAGCAUGGGGAGCGAACGGGAUUAGAUACCCCUGUAGUCC